rnacentral:lncRNA from 1 species
GGUGGUAUAACCUUUGCUUCAUUGCUGAAUUCUCUUCAUAUAUGACCAGCUGCCCACUAUUGUAUGUAUUAAGAUUUCAUCCUAAUGAUUUGCAGACAAAAGGAAACAAGCCCAAAUGAGAGAAAAAGCAACACAAACCAUAUGUGGUUGAAAGUUUCCACUAUAAGUGAGGACUCCCCUCGCCCUAUCUCCAUGGAUUGACAUGAACGUUUG